UACGGGGGCAAGCGUUGUUCGGAAUUACUGGGCGUAAAGGGCUCGUAGGCGGCCAACUAAGUCAGACGUGAAAUCCCUAGGCUCAACCUAGGAACUGCGUCUGAUACUGGAUGGCUUGAAUUCGGGAGAGGGAUGUGGAAUUCCAGGUGUAGCGGUGAAAUGCGUAGAUAUCUGGAGGAACACCGGUGGCGAAGGCGGCAUCCUGGACCGAGAUUGACGCUGAGGCGCGAAAGGCUAGGGGAGCAAACGGGG
rnacentral:rRNA from 1 species